rnacentral:tRNA from 1 species
GCGCCCUUAGCUCAGUUGGAUAGAGCAGGAGACUUCUAAUCUCAAGGUCGGGGGUUCGAAUCCCUCAGGGCGCACCA